rnacentral:rRNA from 1 species
CAAUAGCGUAUAUUCAAGUUGUUGCAGUUAAAAAGCUCGUAGUUGGAUUUCUGCUGAUCGCUGUCGGUCUGCCGUCAGGUGUGUACUGGCAGUGUUUGGCAUCUAUUCGAGAUUGGGUGUCCACUUGAUUGUGUGCACUCGAUGUCGGAGCUAAUACUUUGAGAAAAUUAGAGUGUUCCACGCAGGCGCGUGCCUUGAAUACUGCAGCAUGGGAUAUUGGAAGGCCGAUUGAGCUUUCUUGUUGGUUCUCGGUUUGAUCGGAAUGAUUAAUAGGGAUAGUUGGGGGCAUUCGUAUUCAACUGUCAGAGGUGAAAUUCUUGGAUUUGUUGAAGACGGACUACUGCGAAAGCAUCUGCCAUGGAUGUUCUCAUUGA